rnacentral:lncRNA from 1 species
UUAAAUCAAUUGAAGGGUUAUGAUUUAUGAAAUGAAACCCUGAAAAUUAUGAUUUAACAAUGAUGAAUUUAUUAUAUCAAUUAAUUUACCAUUCAUUUCCCAAAAGAUUCCUUCUCCAAAUCCAAAUCUUAAAUCUAGCCACCAUGGAUGAAUGCAUCGAUCUCGAUCCCAUCCUUACCCACCACACCUUCUUUAUUAAUUAGCAUCACAUGGUUUCUGUCUUCUUUCUCGUCUAGCUUAUACCAAUGUUACCAACUCCCAUUCAAUUCUGCAGCUCUCUCUCUCUCACUCACUACUGUUCUAGCUAGCUCGGCACAUUUACACAAACAAUUCUUUCAUCUUUUAGGGUUUUUAAAUCACACUUCACAUCACAGAUUCAUAGCUACGUACAUGAUCGACUGAUCUCUUUUUUUGUUUUGUUUUUUUGUUUGUUGUUAUUACAUGCAGUCAUGUAGAUGCGUGUGUUCAGCAGGUUUUCGUGAGCAACUUCAUUUCAACAAUACCUGAACAAGCUUGCUAGCCAACUGAACAAGUGAUCUCAAGUUAGAAAUCUGUAUGUAUGCAUGCAUAUAUCAACUGAUAAGAACUACUUACUGCAAACCAAAUUAAAAAGAAGAUACAUGGCCGGAGAAAGCUUGAUAUAUAUCGAAUACCGGUUGAGAGGAAUGAAGCCUGGUCCGAGAUCACUUAGAUAUCCCAGCCAACAUACUUGAGAUCGAGGAUUCAUGUAUAUCGGAUAUCUACAUGACCUCGAGCCAAACAACAUUCCCCUCAACAUAGUUUCAACUAGCUUCCGGCUUAAUUUCUUCUUUCAGAUUUAGAGAAAAGGAGAAGAAGAGGAGGAGGAGGAGGAGGAGAUUGAGAAUGGAAUGGAAUGGAAUGGAAUGGGCCAUUGAAGCUCUAUAUAUAUCCACAUUCACUCUCAGGUCAUUUAAGAGGAUGGGCCCUUCAUGUCUUCUGCAUCUCACCUUCCAUUCACAGUCAACAGCACAG